UACGGAGGGGACUAGCGUUGUUCGGAAUUACUGGGCGUAAAGCGCACGUAGGCGGAUUUGUAAGUCAGGGGUGAAAUCCCGGGGCUCAACCCCGGAACUGCCUUUGAUACUGCAAAUCUCGAGUCCGGAAGAGGUGAGUGGAAUUCCUAGUGUAGAGGUGAAAUUCGUAGAUAUUAGGAGGAACACCAGUGGCGAAGGCGGCUCACUGGUCCGGUACUGACGCUGAGGUGCGAAAGCGUGGGGAGCAAACAGG
rnacentral:rRNA from 1 species